AGACUCUCAAGAGAGAACUAUGUUAGUAUGGAUAAUGUCAUUAUGUUUGGGAUCGCCCCGAUGAAAGGGGAAAGAAGAGGGUACUCUAGGCGACUUUAAGAGAGCUAACCCCGGAACUUAGGGGAAUCCCGCACUGUGAGGAAGGGAGCAGGCGGCGGAGCGAGGGAGCGAGAGGAGGGAGCGCGGUACCGGAAGCGGGAUCCUCGGGGCAGCGGAUGAUGACGAGGAGGUGGUGGAGCGGAGAAAGAGGAGGAGCGGAAGGGAAGCGAGCGGGCGUCCAGCGACGGCAACCUCUUGUGUCCUCACGCCCAGAAGUUCAACCCCACCAGUCCUCCCGACGGGUUGGACUGCCGCGUAGGAGGAGGAGUGUCGAAGCAGCGUGCGCGUGGAAGAAGAGGAGGGAGGAGGGAGGGAGCAGUGAUGAAGGUGGUCAGGGGAGGGAGGGAGCAGGCACCGGCGACGACGGCGUGUUUAGAGGAUCCAGUCCCUUUCCUUCUUCCGGAACCGCUCAGUCGUCCCCACCCACCUCGCCGACUACGCCUACCCCAGCUGCCAACUCCCUCCCAACGGCUGGUCUCGUCGUCCUCGUUCUCGAGCUCUUCCAAGUCUAACCUAUGUUUACCAAGUCGUUUCUCCCUCACACAUUGGCGUAGUCUCUAAUCCGGUACCUCGUUCUCACACACUGAUCCAACACGUUUAAAAAAGGGAUCUCUGUCGUCUCCUUGGGGAGGACCAGCUCGGGGGUGGGAUAGGAGAGGUGGAAAUCUCCUCUUGGGGUACUUUCGAUUUUCAAACACCUCCUCACAACCGUGUCAAAAAAUCUCCCACAAAGCCUGAGUUCUAACUAGACCAUCACGUGCACCAUAACAAACGGUACUGGUCCUUAUAGACUAGACGCGGUACUGUUAUACCCGAACGACGUCGGUCCGUCAAGAAGUCUCAUACCACGAAGCUAAACCAAGGACACCACACAAUCAAAGUCUUGGGAUAGGAGAGGUGGAAAUCUCCUCUUGGGGUACUUUCGAUUUUCAAACACCUCCUCACAACCGUGUCAAAAAAUCUCCCACAAAGCCUGAGUUCUAACUAGACCAUCACGUGCACCAUAACAAACGGUACUGGUCCUUAUAGACUAGACGCGGUACUGUUAUACCCGAACGACGUCGGUCCGUCAAGAAGUCUCAUACCACGAAGCUAAACCAAGGACACCACUCGCAUAUACCUCUCCGGUCUUCGUCGUCCCCAGCCGCCUCACCGCCUACACCAGCUGCCUCGUCGUCGCCAUCCUCGUUCCUCGAGCUCUACCAAGUCCUUUUCACGGAUGUCUCUAAAGUCUUGAUCUAUCUACACAGAAUACUAUCAUAACGAUUUCUUGUAGUCUAUUAAGUCGCCAAGAAGGAAGAAUCAUAGUUACUUAUCCAACUAAUGUCUUAUAUAAACUUCUAACGUCGUCCGUGUUUUACGAGCCGUUUGUUUUUAUUAAUCGAAACUCCAACGGAUCUCUCUCUGGUGAGAGCGUAGUAAUCCACGGCGGGUGUUCCUAGAGGGCGCCGCUCCGUACGUGUGGAUACGGUGUAGUAAUGUACACUGGUCCGCGUAUCCUCUCGACGUAUGUAAAACAUACCUACAUAUAUCAACGUGAUAUGACCAUACAUACAGUCGACGUCAUCGAACGGUCAAUCAGGAACCACUUCUACGUAAGAUUGGAUAUUCCUCCGACCGGUUGAACGGAGGUGUCUCGAGGGUGCUGACCCGGGAAAGACUGACAGGCUAGUGCUAGUACGGUACAAAAUCGCGAGUACCUCAAGGGCACUAUAUGCAACUCAGACCACUAGGAAUGUUUUGUAUAUACCUUCCGAUACCUAGAAUAGUACCUACUCGAGCUUUUAUAUAAUUAAAGUUUAGGUAUAUAUGUAGUGUGAGUAUGGGCUUUGACUUGUCCCUGUUCUUGUACGUUAAUAUACAACACCAUCUAAAGUUUUCUCUGGGUACCGGGUCUCAUCAAAACGUGUUUACUUCCUAUAGUCUGUCUGGGUACCUCGUUCUCUAGGAGAAACAGUCCCGGUGGAAUGAACAUACCGGAGUUCGAGUCCCCUGGGAAGAUUGAUUCUAGGAUACGUGGACGGAGGAAGGAGAUCCGUGCACUUCCGAUUGUACUCCUCGACUGCUCGAUUUGUUCCUCGACCUCGUCCUAACAUCCUCCCUCCAUGUGAUCCCCGACCUCGUCCUGUUGGUAACAAAGUCUAGGUGAACUGAGUAGGGUUCACCAACGUUACAGAAGAAUACAUUAAAAAUAAAUGUGUGUAUUACUAUUCUCUGAAUAAAAAAGACUUACUAAUCCAAGUAUCAUCAAAUUUUUUCCUAUGUUUUUAUACUUUUAUUCUCGAAGGUAAGUAUUUUAAACAUGUUUUACAGGGAAAGGUAUUACUUCAACCAAAGAUUAGUGUGUGUACAUGACGAUGUACUAGGAUAUGCACAACAGACUUAAUUCACUUUCCUAUAACCGUAAAAGAGAGGGCCAAUUAGUCCUGAAUAACUGUCCCUGAACCCUAUUAACUUGAAUCUUCCAAAAGAUAGAAUAUUAUACUAUUACGUCCGAAGGAAUGGAACUGGUCUUUAAAUCGUAAAACAACAACGAGGAAUGGUACGUUACACCGAAGUCGUGGUAAAAAUUUUAUAUUCGGUAGUAAACAGGGCCAGGAAUAGUUCGUCAAGGAAUAGUUUCCCCUAAAACUACAAGAAUGACUUUGUCUCCUGAACUUAACUACUAAAGAUCCUAAUCAUUUGUAAUCGUGUUAGGACUAAUAGGUCAACUCUUUAGAAUAUAAAAUUAACGCUAUCCAUUACAUCUGACGUUCUCAACAGAAGAUUCAAAACGUUUAAGAAGACACUCAUCGAUUACGACAAAUCUUUAAAACUAAAGGGUAAAACAACAUCGAGAAGUAAAAAACAGUGACCAAAUGUAAAUAAACAUAGAAAGAGUAAGACAAGUAUCGUAAAACAGUACAAAGAAGGAAAAAUAUCUCUAUAAAACUACAACACAGUUCUUCAAACCGAUUAACUGCCGAGUUUACUAACGUUCGUAUACUAGAACAGUCGAGCUCACUAACGUCCGCAUAGCUGAUAUCCGUUUGCAUGUCUGUAUCUUCUAAAAAACAAAACCAAUUUAACGUCGGUUCGAUGAAUGUAUGCUGAGAAUAGACCCGUAGACUCUUAAGGGUUUGCCACAUACGAAGACAAAAUCGGACUAAAUGCAAAGAUGAUAUCUACAUCGAGAUACUGUCAUGUUUGAAAAACGUGAUAACUUAUCUUCUUGCAAAUACGAAGUCACACCGAUGACCGAACCAUCUGUCCGGGACAGCACCCUGUUCUUGGACUAUAACAACAAAAAAUACAACCUUCUUUACUACCAAACUAGGUACACGUUAACGUAACCAAUAAAGAGUUGGCCACGUCUAGUUUAAAUAUUAAUAUAACUGU
rnacentral:rRNA from 1 species